UGGGGAAUAUUGCACAAUGGGCGCAAGCCUGAUGCAGCCAUGCCGCGUGUAUGAAGAAGGCCUUCGGGUUGUAAAGUACUUUCAGUCGGGAGGAAGGUGGUAAGGUUAAUAACCUUGGCAAUUGACGUUACCGACAGAAGAAGCACCGGCUAACUCCGUGCCAGCAGCCGCGGUAAUACGGAGGGUGCAAGCGUUAAUCGGAAUUACUGGGCGUAAAGCGCACGCAGGCGGUUGAUUGAGUCAGAUGUGAAAUCCCCGGGCUUAACCCGGGAAUUGCAUCUGAUACUGGUCAGCUAGAGUCUUGGAGAGGGGGGUAGAAUUCCAGGUGUAGCGGUGAAAUGCGUAGAGAUGUGGAGGAAUACCGGUGGCGAAGGCGGCCCCCUGGACAAAGACUGACGCUCAGGUGCGAAAGCGUGGGGAGCAAACAGG
rnacentral:rRNA from 1 species